CCUCAGGUCUUAUGGUGAGGCUGAGGAAAAUGUGGGGCCACGUCAAGACUGAGAGGACCCCCGUCCUCCUCAGGACCUGCACUUUGGCUUCGGGACACAUGGGGCUCCAUCAAGGCUGACAGGAACCCACAGCCUCCUCAGGAUGCGCGGUGAGUUUUCAGGGGAUGUGGGGCCAUGUCCAGGCUGACGGGAGCCCCCGGCCUCCUGAAAACCUGCUGUGAGGCUUCCAGAGGAUGUGAGGCAUACUCCACAGUGACAGGAGACCCGGUGUCCUCAGGACCCGCUGACUAUGACUCUGGAACACGUGGGGCCACGUGCGCACUCACAGGAGCCCAGCUUCCUCAGGACCCCCUAGAGGACUCUGGAGGCGCCGUUGGGGGCCACAUCCACAUCAGAAGGGACUACUCAGAACCACAGGGACCUGCACUUUGGCUUCAGGACACAUGGGGCUGCGUCUAGGCUGACAGCAACCCACAGCCUCCUCAGGACCCGCGGUGAGUUUUCAGGGGACAUGAGGCCAUGUCCAGGCUGACAGGAGUCCCUGGCUUCCUGAGAACCUGCUGUGAGGCUUCCAGAGGAUGUGAGACAUCCAGAAAGAUGUUCCUCCUCCUUCCAGAGUAGGCAUACUCCACGUUGGCAGGAGACCCGGCGUACUCAGGACCCACUGACUAUGACUCUGGAACACGUGGGGCCAUGUCCGCAUUUACCGGAGCCCAGCUUCCUCAGGACCCCCCUGGAGGACUCUGGAGGCGCCGUUGGGAGCCACGUCCAUGUCAGAAGGGACUCCUCAGAACCAUAGGGUAAGUGAAUGGGUAGAAUGAAUGGUAGGAUCAGGGGAGGGGAGGUGGUUGGUGGUUAGGCUCAGAUUAGAUGUUAAGGGUUAGUGAUUAUGCUUAUGGUUACAGAUUAGAGGUUAGCGUGAGGGAUAAAGGUAAGGGUCAGUGGUUAGGAGUUAGGAUGGGGGUUUCGGUUAGGGACAGGAGUUAGAGUUAGAGUUAGGGAUUAGACUUUAGGGAUUAGGGCAGGAGGUUAGGAGUUGGGGUUUGGGUUAUGGUUAGAGUUAGGGUUCAGUUAGGUUUGCAGUUAGGGUUAGGGGUUAGGGUGUGAGAUAGGGAUAGAGGUUAGCGUUAGGGGUUAGAGUUAAAGUUAGGGCUAGUUUUAGGGUUAGGGCGAGGGUUAGGUUUAAGAUACGGGUUAGGGCUAGGAUUAGGGUUAGAGUUUGGUUAGGGGUUAGGGUUAGGGUCAGGUCAGGCUCAGGGUACGGUUUUGAAAAAGGGUAAGAGAGGGUUAGACAGUGGGUUAGGGAUUAGUUUUAGGGUCCGGGUUAGGGUACAGUUUGGGUUAUGAGAUAGGAUUAGUAUUAUAGGGUUAGGGUUAGGGUACAGGUUAAGGUUAGGAAUAGGAUUUGAGUACAUUAAGUUAAGGUUAUGGUUAGAGGUUAGGGUUAGGGUUAGAUUUA
rnacentral:lncRNA from 12 species